rnacentral:lncRNA from 1 species
CGCGGGCCACCACAUCCUGACGGCGACGGCGACCUCCCUCACUCUGCUGCUAGGGCCACUACUAUUCCUAUUUGACAUAGCUAGUUCUUGUUCUUUCUGCUGUGGAUUGUUUCAGACGCGACUAACAUGUGUUGGUGAGUAAACUUUUUCUAAAGGAACUGAAUGUCUGGAUGUGAAGUUGUGUUGUAAUGUGUUACUUGACUGAUACAUGUUGCAAUUUAAUUUACUAGUCCGACUAGCUGGUGGUGAUAUUUUUGCACCUGAUACAUGCAGCUUCUGCUACUAUACGUCUAUACAUUCACUAGCUCGUGUACUGCUCAUGAGUGAAAGUUUCAGAAACAAUAGUAACUUUGUUUCUUUUCGGUGAAUGCAAUUGUUGAGGCUAAUGUGGUUCUGUAAUCCUUAGGUGUUCCUUGGCGAUACAUGCUGCAAUUUGGUACGGCGAUAUAUUCAGAAAAAAUAGAAAAAGAUGGCCAUAGCAUCAGAUUGUCUGAACUUGGUCAGGUCAUCAUGCAUCGAAGACAUCAAAUCAGCUCGCUUUGAGUGUAUUUCUUUUGAAUUGUUAAUGGACGGUGUUAGUUAGAUCAGCUAACCAGGUUGCUAGAUAUGUAUCAUUGUAUGAGGUUCUGUUGUGAAUCUGAGCUCCUGGUGUAACAAAUAGUUCAAAGAAUAAAAGGCUGUCUAUAUUCAAAAAA